rnacentral:rRNA from 1 species
AGUGAACGCUGGCGGUAGGCCUAACACAUGCAAGUCGAACGACAGCACAGUAAGAGCUUGCUCUUACGGUUGGCGAGUUGCGGACGGGUGAGGAAUACAUCGGUAUCUACUUUUUCGUGGGGGAUAACGUAGGGAAACAUACGCUAAUACCGCAUCCGAUCUACGGUUGAAAGCAGGCGUUCUUCGGACCUGGCGCGAAUACAUGAGCCGAUGUCGGAUUAGCUAGGUGGCGGGGUAAAGGCCCACCAGGGCGACGACCCGUAGCCGGUCUGACAGGAUGAUCAGACACACGGGAACUGAGACACGGUCCAGACUCCUACGGGAGGAAGCAGUGGGGAAUAUUGGAGAAUGGGCGAGAGCCUGAUCCAGCCAUACCGCGUGAGUGAAGAAGGCCUUCGGGUUGGAAAGCCAUUUUGUUGGGAAAGAAGAACAGCAGGUUAAUACCCCGCUGUUCUGACGGUACCCAAAGAAUAAGCACCGGCUAACUUCGUG